UUUAGAUUGAACUGGAGAAACCUCAGAGCCACCACCUUCUCACAGGUGUUAGCCAUCAGCCAAACUACCCAUUUCCAAGAUAUGGGAGAGAUUUGUUUGCCGUGGCUCUGAUUUUAACCUAAAGCAGGAAGGAUGGAAUGUACUAGAUAUGAUUCCUCUGAAUGAACCCCUGCACAGUGCCCUGUGCUGCUUCCCCAUCCCAAGACCUGGAUUUCAUGCAAGAUGUGGCAGUAACUACCCACUAGGUUGGGUGUGACAGAGAUGUGAGGUUCCCUGACAGCAUCCCUACUGAUGCAGCAGUCAUUGAAAAAAGCAGCUGGAAAAGGAAGGUGAAGAAGAGCCUGGCCUUGCAGCUGGGAGGCCCCUCAGCACAGCAUCAGAACUGGAGUGAACGAGCAGUUCUCCGCUUAUCUGAUGUAGCCUGGAGAGCAGACAGAUAGGACUGCAGCAAUCAGUAUGAUGGGAAUGCAGUGGGUGGACUCUAUCAGGAGAAAAGAAACCCUCCCCUCUAUGGAUGAACCUUCAUCUCUCAGUGUCCCCCCUCUCCAACCCUCAUUCUGGUGAGAGGGAGGAUCUUUUCCCCAUCCAGUGAUGAGAUGAAAGAGUGCCCCCCAUUUGACACUUCAUGAGUUGGCUGAACCCAACAAAAUGAUCUUCAUAAAAUCCUGAUUCCAAAGCAUCAAAGCCUUUUCCUGACUGGUAAAAACCCUAAAAAUUCCUGGAGGAACUGCCAAAGGGCAAUGGGGCUGAUUCUGUCAACUGCCUUUGGUUAGAGCUGGGUUUGGUUAUUUAUGGGGGCCGGGGGAGGCAAGAACUUUCCAGAUGGGCGGCUCAACCAAAUAUAACAAUGAUAAAAAUCAAUUCAGUUAUGUGAAGGGAAAAGAAUGCCUGUGCUAAAGGGCCUGCAUGAGGCACAUUCUUUUCUGUGCUGAAACAUCCCUCAGCACGGUGCUUUUCGUGGUAUCCCACCCCAUCCCUGCACAUUGCACAGACACCUCUGUGUCUGCUGAAAUGUGCCCUUUGCUGUGGGGAUUCUGGCUUGAUUUAAUGGUACCUACCUAAUGAGACCUCACUGAUUGAGUACCUUGUGCAAGUGAGAAGAUAGCUAGGAGUCAGAACUGAGUGGGGGAAGAGAAAUAUCUGGUAAGAGAGGAAAUUUGGUAGAGAGGAUUGGAGUUGGUGACUGCAAAUAGUCUUUAUAUUAGUGCACUGUUGGGUUUCCUAUGUUGAUGAAACUUUGGAUGCCUGUAUGGGUUCUUAAAAUAGCCAUAGAAUUAGCCAGUCCAAUAUCUUCAUCUUCUUAGUGCUGAUCUUUAUUUUUGGAGCUAUCCUUUGGUGGAAAACCUCCAGUACUGUCAUGGAAAGGAGAUGCAAAAAAUUGUCCUUUGGGUAAUUCCUUUUUUCUGCUGAACUCUCUUGUACUUCAUAGAAUCAUAGAAUGGUUUGAGUUGGAAGGGACCAUGUAGUCCCAACCCUCCUGUUGUGGACAAGGAUACCUUCCACUAGACCAGCUUGCUCAGACCUGAUCUUGAACUCUUUCAGUCUGGUAUUUGCACUCCUUGGCCUAACCUGUUGACCAAUAUGUGUUUAUACUGUUGAAAAGGCAGUGAGGCUCAGCCUACUGAGGUUGCUGUUCAUCACUGUGCAGUGAACUCCAGCUCUGUAGGUCAAAUUCUACACCUGUGUGAGUGGUCCCACUGUUGGGUUGCCUUUCCACAGUCUGCUGUCUUGAGGGAGCCCAGGCCUGGCCACAGUCAUCAGUCAGCUAAAAUGCUUCCUCCUCUCUGCUCCAUAGACACAAAUGGGCCCUGCUUGCAGCAAUUCAGCAGGAAAGGGCCAGGAUGAGAUAGCUCUGGGUGUUCCAGAAAGCACUGAAGGGUUCAGAUUUGGUGCCAAAUUGCACGUGGAGAUACCUGCACCGCUUCAGCUGUCCCGGGCACCAGUGGAGGAGGUGCUGACAGGAUUCCCCUGG